GAUUAAGUUAUUAAGGGCGCACGGUGGAUGCCUUGGCACUAGAAGCCGAUGAAGGACGUUACUAACGACGAUAUGCUUUGGGGAGCUGUAAGUAAGCUUUGAUCCAGAGAUUUCCGAAUGGGGAAACCCAGCAUGAGUUAUGUCAUGUUAUCGAUAUGUGAAUACAUAGCAUAUCAGAAGGCACACCCGGAGAACUGAAACAUCUUAGUACCCGGAGGAAGAGAAAGAAAAUUCGAUUCCCUUAGUAGCGGCGAGCGAAACGGGAAGAGCCCAAACCAACAAGCUUGCUUGUUGGGGUUGUAGGACACUCUAUACGGAGUUACAAAGGACGACAUUAGACGAAUCAUCUGGAAAGAUGAAUCAAAGAAGGUAAUAAUCCUGUAGUCGAAAAUGUUGUCUCUCUUGAGUGGAUCCUGAGUACGACGGAGCACGUGAAAUUCCGUCGGAAUCUGGGAGGACCAUCUCCUAAGGCUAAAUACUCUCUAGUGACCGAUAGUGAACCAGUACCGUGAGGGAAAGGUGAAAAGCACCCCGGAAGGGGAGUGAAAUAGAACCUGAAACCGUGUGCUUACAAGUAGUCAGAGCCCGUUAAUGGGUGAUGGCGUGCCUUUUGUAGAAUGAACCGGCGAGUUACGAUUUGAUGCAAGGUUAAGCAGUAAAUGUGGAGCCGUAGCGAAAGCGAGUCUGAAUAGGGCGUUUAGUAUUUGGUCGUAGACCCGAAACCAGGUGAUCUACCCUUGGUCAGGUUGAAGUUCAGGUAACACUGAAUGGAGGACCGAACCGACUUACGUUGAAAAGUGAGCGGAUGAACUGAGGGUAGCGGAGAAAUUCCAAUCGAACCUGGAGAUAGCUGGUUCUCUCCGAAAUAGCUUUAGGGCUAGCCUCAAGUGAUGAUUAUUGGAGGUAGAGCACUGUUUGGACGAGGGGCCCCUCUCGGGUUACCGAAUUCAGACAAACUCCGAAUGCCAAUUAAUUUAACUUGGGAGUCAGAACAUGGGUGAUAAGGUCCGUGUUCGAAAGGGAAACAGCCCAGACCACCAGCUAAGGUCCCAAAAUAUAUGUUAAGUGGAAAAGGAUGUGGCGUUGCCCAGACAACUAGGAUGUUGGCUUAGAAGCAGCCAUCAUUUAAAGAGUGCGUAAUAGCUCACUAGUCGAGUGACACUGCGCCGAAAAUGUACCGGGGCUAAACAUAUUACCGAAGCUGUGGAUUGUCCUUUGGACAAUGGUAGGAGAGCGUUCUAAGGGCGUUGAAGCAUGAUCGUAAGGACAUGUGGAGCGCUUAGAAGUGAGAAUGCCGGUGUGAGUAGCGAAAGACGGGUGAGAAUCCCGUCCACCGAUUGACUAAGGUUUCCAGAGGAAGGCUCGUCCGCUCUGGGUUAGUCGGGUCCUAAGCUGAGGCCGACAGGCGUAGGCGAUGGAUAACAGGUUGAUAUUCCUGUACCACCUAUAAUCGUUUUAAUCGAUGGGGGGACGCAGUAGGAUAGGCGAAGCGUGCGAUUGGAUUGCACGUCUAAGCAGUAAGGCUGAGUAUUAGGCAAAUCCGGUACUCGUUAAGGCUGAGCUGUGAUGGGGAGAAGACAUUGUGUCUUCGAGUCGUUGAUUUCACACUGCCGAGAAAAGCCUCUAGAUAGAAAAUAGGUGCCCGUACCGCAAACCGACACAGGUAGUCAAGAUGAGAAUUCUAAGGUGAGCGAGCGAACUCUCGUUAAGGAACUCGGCAAAAUGACCCCGUAACUUCGGGAGAAGGGGUGCUCUUUAGGGUUAACGCCCAGAAGAGCCGCAGUGAAUAGGCCCAAGCGACUGUUUAUCAAAAACACAGGUCUCUGCUAAACCGUAAGGUGAUGUAUAGGGGCUGACGCCUGCCCGGUGCUGGAAGGUUAAGAGGAGUGGUUAGCUUCUGCGAAGCUACGAAUCGAAGCCCCAGUAAACGGCGGCCGUAACUAUAACGGUCCUAAGGUAGCGAAAUUCCUUGUCGGGUAAGUUCCGACCCGCACGAAAGGCGUAACGAUUUGGGCACUGUCUCAACGAGAGACUCGGUGAAAUCAUAGUACCUGUGAAGAUGCAGGUUACCCGCGACAGGACGAAAAGACCCCGUGGAGCUUUACUGUAGCCUGAUAUUGAAAUUCGGCACAGCUUGUACAGGAUAGGUAGGAGCCUUUGAAACGUGAGCGCUAGCUUACGUGGAGGCGCUGGUGGGAUACUACCCUAGCUGUGUUGGCUUUCUAACCCGCACCACUUAUCGUGGUGGGAGACAGUGUCAGGCGGGCAGUUUGACUGGGGCGGUCGCCUCCUAAAAGGUAACGGAGGCGCUCAAAGGUUCCCUCAGAAUGGUUGGAAAUCAUUCAUAGAGUGUAAAGGCAUAAGGGAGCUUGACUGCGAGACCUACAAGUCGAGCAGGGUCGAAAGACGGACUUAGUGAUCCGGUGGUUCCGCAUGGAAGGGCCAUCGCUCAACGGAUAAAAGCUACCCCGGGGAUAACAGGCUUAUCUCCCCCAAGAGUUCACAUCGACGGGGAGGUUUGGCACCUCGAUGUCGGCUCAUCGCAUCCUGGGGCUGUAGUCGGUCCCAAGGGUUGGGCUGUUCGCCCAUUAAAGCGGUACGCGAGCUGGGUUCAGAACGUCGUGAGACAGUUCGGUCCCUAUCCGUCGUGGGCGUAGGAAAUUUGAGAGGAGCUGUCCUUAGUACGAGAGGACCGGGAUGGACAUACCUCUGGUGUACCAGUUGUCGUGCCAACGGCAUAGCUGGGUAGCUAUGUGUGGACGGGAUAAGUGCUGAAAGCAUCUAAGCAUGAAGCCCCCCUCAAGAUGAGAUUUCCCAACUUCGGUUAUAAGAUCCCUCAAAGAUGAUGAGGUUAAUAGGUUCGAGGUGGAAGCAUGGUGACAUGUGGAGCUGACGAAUACUAAUCGAUCGAAGACUUAAUCAA
rnacentral:rRNA from 1 species